rnacentral:rRNA from 1 species
UACGGCUCAGUAACACGUGGAUAACCUGCCCUAAGGAAGGGGAUAACCCCGGGAAACUGGGGAUAAUACCCUAUAGGUUACAGAUGCUGGAAUGCUCUGUAACCGAAAGCUCCGGCGCCUUAGGAUGGAUCUGCGGCCGAUUAGGUUGUUGUCGGGGUAACGGCCCAACAAGCCAGUAAUCGGUACGGGUUGUGGGAGCAAGAGCCCGGAGUUGGAUUCUGAGACACGAAUCCAGGCCCUACGGGGCGCAGCAGGCGCGAAAACUUUACAAUGCGGGCAACCGUGAUAAGGGAACCUCGAGUGCCUGUAUAUGCAGGCUGUCUGGGUGUCUAAAACACACCUAAAGAAAGGGCCGGGCAAGACCGGUGCCAGCCGCCGCGGUAAUACCGGCGGCUCGAGUGGUGGCCACUUUUAUUGGGCUUAAAGCGUUCGUAGCUGGGUUAUUAAGUCCCUUGGGAAAUCCGACGGCUUAACCGUCGGGCGUCUAAGGGAUACUGGCAAUCUUGGAACCGGGAGAGGUGAGGGGUACUUCGGGGGUAGGAGUGAAAUCCUGUAAUCCUCGAGGGACCACCUGUGGCGAAGGCGCCUCACCAGAACGGCUUCGACAGUGAGGGACGAAAGCUGGGGGAGCAAACCGGAUUAGAUACCCGGGUAGUCCCAGCCGUAAACGAUGUGCGUUAGGUGUAUCGGUGACCACGAGUCACCGAGGUGCCGAAGGGAAACCGUGAAACGUACCGCCUGGGAAGUACGGUCGCAAGGCUGAAACUUAAAGGAAUUGGCGGGGGAGCAC